CCGGUUCUGCCGGAACAGAGUGACAGGUGCUGCAUGGCUGUCGUCAGCUCGUGUCGUGAGAUGUUGGGUUAAGUCCCGCAACGAGCGUAACCCUUGUCUUUAGUUGCCAGUAUUCAGUUAGGCACUCUAAAGAGACUGCCUCGGUUAACGGGAGGAAGGUGGGGAUGACGUCAAGUCCUCAUGGCCUUUAUACCCAGGGCUACACACGUGCUACAAUGGGCUGUACAAAGGGUUGCUAUCCCGUGAGGGGGCGCUAAUCCCAAAAAGCAGUCCUAAGUUCGGAUCGUAGUCUGCAACUCGACUACGUGAAGUCGGAAUCGCUAGUAAUCGUGGAUCAGAAUGUCACGGUGAAUACGUUCCCGGGUCUU
rnacentral:rRNA from 1 species